UACGGAGGGUGCAAGCGUUAUCCGGAUUCACUGGGUUUAAAGGGUGCGUAGGUGGGUUGGUAAGUCCGUGGUGAAAUCUCCGAGCUUAACUCGGAAACUGCCGUGGAUACUAUCAAUCUUGAAUACUGUGGAGGUAAGCGGAAUAUGUCAUGUAGCGGUGAAAUGCUUAGAUAUGACAUAGAACACCGAUAGCGGAGGCAGCUUGCUACACAGUCACUGACACUGAGGCACGAAAGCGUGGGGAUCAAACAGG
rnacentral:rRNA from 1 species